AGUGAACGCUGGCGGUAGGCCUAACGCAUGCAAGUCGAACGGCAGCACAGUAAGAGCUUGCUCUUACGGGUGGCGAGUGGCGGACGGGUGAGGAAUACAUCGGAAUCUACUUUUUCGUGGGGGAUAACGUAGGGAAACUUACGCUAAUACCGCAUACGACCUACGGGUGAAAGCAGGGGAUCUUCGGACCUUGCGCGAUUGAAUGAGCCGAUGUCGGAUUAGCUAGUUGGCGGGGUAAAGGCCCACCAAGGCGACGAUCCGUAGCUGGUCGGAGAGGAUGAUCAGCCACACUGGAACUGAGACACGGUCCAGACUCCUACGGGAGGCAGCAGUGGGGAAUAUUGGACAAUGGGCGCAAGCCUGAUCCAGCCAUACCGCGUGGGUGAAGAAGGCCUUCGGGUUGUAAAGCCCUUUUGUUGGGAAAGAAAAGCAGCAGGUUAAUACCCCGCUGUUCUGACGGUACCCAAAGAAUAAGCACCGGCUAACUUCGUG
rnacentral:rRNA from 1 species